rnacentral:rRNA from 1 species
GACGAACGCUGGCGGCGUGCUUAACACAUGCAAGUCGAACGGAAAGGCCCUGCUUUUGUGGGGUGCUCGAGUGGCGAACGGGUGAGUAACACGUGAGUAACCUGCCCUUGACUUUGGGAUAACUUCAGGAAACUGGGGCUAAUACCGGAUAGGAGCUCCUGCUGCAUGGUGGGGGUUGGAAAGUUUCGGCGGUUGGGGAUGGACUCGCGGCUUAUCAGCUUGCUGGUGGGGUAGUGGCUUACCAAGGCUUUGACGGGUAGCCGGCCUGAGAGGGUGACCGGGCACAAUGGGACUGAGAUACGGCGCAGACUCCUACGGGGGGCAACAGGCGGGAAUAUUACACAAUGGGCGGAAGCCUGAUGCAGAAACGCCGCGUGCGGGAUGACGGCCUUCGGGUUGUAAACCGCUUUCGCCUGUGACGAAGCGUGAGUGACGGUAAUGGGUAAAGAAGCACCGGCUAACUACGUG